GACGAACCGUACGAACGUUAUUCGGAAUUACUGGGCUUAAAGAGUGCGUAGGCUGCGCGGAAAGUUGGGUGUGAAAUCCCUCGGCUCAACCGAGGAACUGCGCUCAAAACUAACGUGCUCGAGGGAGAUAGAGGUGAGCGGAACUUAGGGUGGAGCGGUGAAAUGCGUUGAUAUCCUAAGGAACACCGGUGGCGAAAGCGGCUCACUGGAUCUCUUCGUGACGCUGAGGCACGAAAGCUAGGGUAGCGAACGGGG
rnacentral:rRNA from 1 species